UUUCCGUAGGUGAACCUGCGGAAGGAUCAUUAACGGGUUAGGGUCUUUUAGGCCCGACCUCCCAACCCUAUGUUUAUUGAACCUCUGUUGCUUCGGCGGACCCGUCUCACGGCCGCCGGAGGACCGCUGCGAGGCGUCCUCUGGCCAGCGUCCGCCGAUGGCCAACCCACUAAACUCUGAAUGAAUCGUGUCAUAUGUCUAAGUCUAUGAUUAAAUUAAAGCAAAACUUUCAACAACGGAUCUCUUGGUUCUG
rnacentral:misc_RNA from 1 species